UGGACGUGUGUGUGUGUGUGUGUGUGUGUGUGUGUGUGUGUGUGUGUGUGUGUGCAGCCCUCGCCGCCCCCCUAUACACACACAAGCACACACACAUGAUAAGAUAGAUCAAAACAGAAGCAGAAUCGCAGACACGAUAUAUACGUCAAGAAACCGGGGAAAAAAAGCUGAGCAACACACACACACACACACACACACACACACACACACACACUCCCUCACCUCCGUAAUGCUCCACGGAUUAUCAAUAUCGUCAUCUGCAGUCGCCGCUCAGGUAACAGAAGUUUGAGGGAGACAGACAGUGAAGAAGGCAGACAUCAUUGCAAGGGCGUAGACAACUUGUAUUCACCUCCGCUGCGGCCUCUGUUCACCUCAAGUAAAGUUAAGGAUACAUCGUGGUGCUGAAUGAACGCAGUGCCUCAUGUUUGCCGUCUUCACUCCCUCAACACAUCGAGAGCCAGCAAAGUAAGCUACCACAAAACUUGGAUCCAGCUGCAGGUGGCAAGCAGGUUCCAGAAGAGGAUGUGAGAGCCAGUCAUUGAGGAGUAAAAGGAAAGAAGGAAGGAAGGAAUGAAGACGAGCAACAUUUCCAACAUGCUGCUACAUUGCAUUGUUUCUUGUCAUCGUCUGUGCAAGUUCUCUGACGUGUGUAUAUGCAUACUCGCUUGGGCCUAGGUAGA